rnacentral:sRNA from 12 species
AUAUAUACUAAUGCUGCAUUGGAACCCAGUGGAGUCAUCUUGCUGAUGGCUGGGGCCCAACCAAAUAAGGUGAUUAUAUGGGAUACUGUAUGAAAGCCAAGACCAUGUGAUUGGUUUACGGGAUUAAAAGACCGCUUUGGUUAGGGGCGCAAUCCGCUCUUCGAUGUAAACGACUAUCCGACUAGGCACGACAAGAGGCUCUGUAGAAAUACAUCCCACGUGAUGAUGUUAGCGUGAGAAACUAGCAUCUGCGUUCUCAAAAGAAGUGUUCGGCUUGAUGAGUGGUAACACUCUAUAACUAGUUUGAUAGGUGCGAUUAGGCGAACGCCGAAAAAAAGAAAUCCUUAACCCGUUUUUUCGCUGAAGCUCGCUGAAAGUUGGAAGGUAAUUUAGUCCUUCCCGUUGGACGGUAGAAAUACCCAUUCCAGAAGUUAAGGGGUCGCUCCCUUUGGCUCAGCCUGGCGUGAACGUGCGUGAAUAACAAAUUAGAGUAAGAAUUGUAUGAUGAAGGUCGCCAAUGCCUUUUUUAUUAUU